AUUCAAGUGUGGUGGUUUUGCAAUCGGCAUGUCUACGAAUCACAUCUUAUUCGACGGCCUAGGCGCCAAAGUAUUCCUCCUAAACCUAGCUUCCCAAUCUUUAGAAAACAAACCCUUAGCCAUCGUACCCUACAAUGACCGCCGGAUUCUUGCCGCUAGAUCUCCACCGCACGUUUCCUUCCCACACCCAGAGUUCCUCAAAUUCGACCUCCCCGUGGGCCCGGGGUCAACUCCCCCAAAGUUCGACUGCAUCAUAGAAGAAAUCGAUUUCAAAAUCUUCAAACUCACCACAACUCACAUAUCCCACUUAAAGGACAAUAUUACUAAGACCUCCAAAAUUGACAGAAUUAGCACCCUUGCUGUGGUGGCCGCCCUAAUAUGGCGGUGCAAAGCCUUUUUCGAUGAUAAAAAUAGGGUUUCGACUUUGCUCAGCGUUAUCGACAUUAGGCCAAGAGUGAACCCCCCAUUACCAUAUUCGUACUCGGCCAAUGCAGUGCUCCCCUUGGGCGUUUCGGAAACUUGUGAAGAGAUAAAAAACGGGCCGUUUUCGAAGCUUGUGGAAAUCAUCACCGAAGGAGCUAAGGAGAUGACGCACGAGUCCGUGAAAUCGGCUUUCGAUUGGUUGGAGUUGAAUAGAGGGAUUCCUCAUGGGGAUUACAUGGUGAGCUCAUGGCUUAGAUUAGGGUUUGAUGAGGUGGAGUAUGCAUGGGGGAAGCCGAUGUAUAGUUGUCCGGUGGUGAAUCAUCGGAAAGAUAUUUGUUGGGUUUUUCGAGAUGCCGUUGAUAAUGGUGUUUGUGCAAUGGUGGCUUUGCCUUCUCAAGAGAUGGACAUAUUUGAGGGUGUUUUCCACGACUUUUUUGCUUCAAUAUUGGUUCACUAAUGAUCGGACAAUAUAUAUAUAUAUAUAUAUAUAUAUAUAUAUAUAUAUAUAUAUAUAUAUAUAUGUGUGUGUGUGUGUGUGUGUGUGUGUGCGCGCUCAGUAUUGUUCUUCUUAGCUUUGUGAUUUUAUUGUUGUGCGUUUAAUUGAGCAUUUAGCACCGACCACUCCUAUGUAAUCUCUAAUUGCAAAAAAAAAGUUUCCAUGUUGUGUUUUGUGAAACAUGCUGCCCCUUACAUUAAAACUAUUUGUUGACUUACUUGAAAUGACAAAACUAUCCUAAUAAAUAUUAAACAAUAUUGCAAUUUAAAAUAAAUAAUGACAAAAAGAAAAAAAAUUAAAUUUUAAAAGAAAAGAUAAGAAAAAAAAUUAUAGGAAGAAUAGGAGAAAGAGAGAAAUAAUAAUACGUAAUAGAAACCUCCGUUAUGUUAUGAAUUGAUUUACAUGGAAUAUAUAUAGAGAAAUAUUGAAAGGUAUAGAGUUUAACUAGGUAACUAAAUCCUAACUAAUCUAUACUAGCAUUUUUUUCCCGUGCGAUGCACGGGAUAUUAUUUCAAAAAUGAAAAAAAUAAUCAAUUUAAUACAUAAUAAGAAAAUAUAGUACACUACUGUUACCCCCUUAGUUGGUGAUAUCGGUAAUGACUCGAGUGUGGCCGAGUCAUGUCCGAGAAUGGGUGUCAAGCAAGGGUUGGCACAAGACAGCCACACAAUCGGCCAAUGAAUGGUCGAGUGUCGGGCAAGCAUUCAGGGUGUUUGUCCGAGAAAAGCAAGGAUCGGCUUGAUCCAAGUGGGAAUGGUGCUCGAAAGUACUAGUGGCUGGCACGGGCAUUGCUCGGCAGCAAAUGCGGACAAGCGUGGGCAGUAAUCGGUAUGUGGCCGAUAACUUGGGCAAUCGAACGUUCGAAGGAAAUCGACCACGACUUGACACGUGUGGGCAAGUUGGCAAGUCAAGAAAGGCACAGCUCGAUGUGCGGGCGUGCUAAUGACCGUGUGGGCAAAGAACUGGCAAGUAAUCGGUAAAGGCAAGCAAACGUGCGGAAAAGGCAAGGCAGAUAGGCUGGCUAGCAACCGGCCGGGCUGUUUGGGCCGUUUGGCGCGCGCGGGCGCGCCCGAUCAAGAUGGGCUUCGAAAAUCAGCCUUGUGGGAAGAUUUGAGGGAAGUCACGGAGCAAUUGCUCCUUAUUACUUGUAAUAGUUGGCCAAGUGUCAUGUAAUAGUGCUGCCAUGUGUCCUUAGGUAAUUUUAUGUGAAAACUACCUUUUCCUUGUAUUUAUUUGGCGAUGAGUGCACAAAUCCGACCCAUCUAGCAUUAGAGAGUUCAGAAUGCAAUUGUGGGCAUUCUGAGUGAGGAUUUUGUGUGUGCACCUUAGUCUCCUUUGUAUUCUUUGUGGGAAAUUAAUAUAAAGGUUGGGCAUUGCCCGUAAACGUGCUUGUGUGUUUGUUUUCCGCUGCAUACUCUUGUGUUCGUUUACGUGGCUUAAAAAGACUUGUGUUUGUGUGCGUUUGUGCAAAGAGAAUCGAGAGGAAGGCUGACUGAUUUGGUGGGCAAAUCAGGCCGCACGGGCGAAAAUUUCUUGAGUAAAGAAACCCCUGUGACAGUUGGUAUCAGAGCCCGGUUCAAGGGUUCUGAACGUGUUGCUGUUCGGCAUGGCUGAAGAUUUUGGAUCUUCGACAAAUCCAAAUCCUACUCGUGUGAUGAUGCUAGAUAUGGAAUCAAGACUGCAAGGUCUUGAAGCCCUGGUUAGGCCGCCCCUAGAUCCAACGGAUCCACCGAUCUUACAAAAGCUCGCUGAUGGGAAGCGAGAAAUCGAUCGUUUGUCAAGAUCGUUGGACGAUCUGCCCCAAUUCGUGGAGAGCAGAUUCACGUCCGUUGCCGAGGAGAUGGGACUCCUCAUUGAUGCCAUUGAGACGAAUCUUGAGGGAAUGCUUACGGGUUUGAUGGUGUUGAAAAGGGUUGUUCGAAAUGAAGGAUCAAGUUCUGAGUGCAGAAUGUCGGGAUCCAAAGUUCGUGUGCUGGAACCGACUGCGUUUGGUGGUGUGCGCAGCGCCAAAGAAGUCGAAAACUUCGAGUGGGAUAUGGAGAAUUACUUCGAGGCAGCCAAGGUUCCGGACCGUGAGAAAGUGACCAUUACAAGUAUGUAUCUCGUGGGUGAUGCAAAGUUGUGGUGGCGUGCUCGUUUGUUGGACGAUGCAAGUGCCAACCGAGUGAAGAUCGAAACUUGGGAGGUGCUGAAACGGGAAUUGAAAGAACAAUUCCUUCCUUGCAACGUGGGCUGGAUUGCAAUGGAAUCCCUUAGGCAAUUGAAGCACAAGGGAACCGUGAGGGAGUAUGUCAAGGAUUUCAGUUCUCUGCUCCUUGACAUACGUGAUAUGUCCGAUGAAGAUAAGUUGUUCAACUUCAUGGCUGGAUUGCAGCCAUGGGCCCAAACCGAGUUGCGGAGGCAAGGCGUGAAGGAUCUGCCAAGUGCCAUCUCGGCAGUGGAUCGACUUGUCGAUUACAAGGUGAUGGGGGCCGAUGAUUCCGAUAAGCAAGGCUCGAAGAAGGAGAAGUCCAAGGGAAAGAAGUUCGGUGGCAAGGGUGGCCGAAAUUGGAAGCAGAAAGAGAGCGGUGAUGGCGAGGGAUCCCCGGCGCAUGCCAAAACCGGUGGACAACCCGUCGUCAACAAACAAAACCGUGGAUGUUUUCUAUGUGAUGGCAACCACCGGAUGAGGGACUGUCCUAAGAGUGCGGGAGUCGGAUAGUGAGGAAGAUUCGGACGAGACGAGGCGUGCGAAUCCGAUUCAGUUGUUGAGUGCUUUGGUCGGGGACAAGGCACUCAACGGCACCAAGGGCUUGAUGUACGCUACGGUGCUGAUCAACGGCAAGGAAGUGAAGGCAAUGGUUGAUUCGGGAGCAACUCACAACUUCGUUGCCGAUAGAGAAGUCAAGAAACUGGGCUUGACUCUCUCAAACAUGCAAGUCAAGUUAAGGCGGUACAUUCAGAGGCGGGGCCGUUGAAAGGCAGAACCGAUGUCGAUCUAGUGAUCGGUUCUUGCAAAGGGCAGUGCGGAUUGACUGACGUACCACUAGAUGAUUUCGAUGUGAUAUUGGGGCAAGAGUUCCUACUUGCUGCCAAGGCUGCGGUGAUACCAUUUCUCAGAGGGCUAAUGAUUAUGGACGAAGAGUGUCCAUGCUUCGUUGAAUGCUCAUACGUAACGAAAGCAAAGGCGGGAAAGAAACCGGUGGCAAUGUUGGUUGCGGUGCAAUUGGAGGCAGAAUCGAACGACGAGGAGUCAUCGAGCCUAAUUGCAGCCGUUCGAAAUAAGACGGUGAAUUCUCGGGCUGGUUUGCUUGUACGUGCAUUGCCGAGAAAUGAGACGAGGGCCGAAGGAAAGUUAAGGUAUUCAUUUGGGCUUAUGAAUGGGCAUUGUGGCCUUACUUUUGUUCUAAGUUGCUGCCGUGUGUGGCAUGAUUUGCGGGUUCGAAAUGUGGUAUUUUCUGAAUUUAUGUGGCAUGUUGGAUUUUUGUUGGGCUGGUUUCCGUGGUGGAUGAAAUGGAAGCCGUGUUUUGGUGAUUUCUAUGGGUUGGAGGUCUCCUUUCUCGAUUGGUGUGUUAGUCGAGAUAAAAUGCUAGUUGUGCAAAAAACUAGCAUUUUCACUUGUGGUUUGGUGCUCCUGAUUGAAAGUGAUUGGCGUUCAUUUUUCCGAGGGCUGAAAGAAUUUGUGGGAAGUUCGUGGGAUCAGACUUGGAAUUCGGGUUUCGAUGUGGUGCUAUUGAUCAAUCACAAUCGAAGACGGUGGCAAGACAAGCGGAAACGAGGGAAAGCUGAAGCCGAUGGUUUCCGUUCGACGAGGGCGUCGAACACCGUUGGUGGAGGAGGUCUGUUACCCCCUUAGUCGGUGAUAUCGGUAAUGACUCGAGUGUGGCCGAGUCAUGACCGAGAAUGGGUGUCAAGCAAGGGUUGGCAUAAGACAGCCACACAAUCGGCCAAUGAGUGGUCGAGUGUCGGGCAAGCAUUCGGGGUGUUUGUCCGAGAAAAGCAAGGAUCGGCUUGAUUCAAGUGGGAACGGUGCUCGAAAGUACUAGUGGUUGGCACGGGCAUUGCUCGGUAGCAAAUGCGGACAAGCGUGGGAAGUAAUCGGUAUGUGGCCGAUAACUUGGGCAAACAAACGUUCGAAGGAAAUCGACCACGACUUGACAAGUGUGGGCAAGUUGGCAAGUCAAGCAAGGCACAACUCGAUGUGCGGGCGUGCUAAUGACCGUGUGGGCAAAGAACUGGCAAGUAAUCGGUAAAGGCAAGCAAACGUGCGGAAAAGGCAAGGCAGAUGGGCUGCCUAGCAACCGGCCGACCUGUUUGGGCCGUUUGGCGCGCGCGGGCGCGCCCGAUCAAGAUGGGCUUCGAAAAUCAGCCUUGUGGGCGGAUUUGAGGGAAGUUACGGAGCGGUUGAGGCCUGGAAAGCAUGAAAAACUGCUCCUUAUUACUUGUAAUAGUUGGCCAAGUGUCAUGUAAUAGUGCUGCCAUGUGUCCUUAGGUAGUUUUAUGUGAAAACUACCUUUUCCUUGUAUUUAUUUGGCGAUGAGUGCACAAAUCCGACCCAUCUAGCAUUAGAGAGUUCAGAUUGCAAUUGUGGGCAUUCUGAGUGAGGAUUUUGUGUGUGCACCUUAGUCUCCUUUGUAUUCUUUGUGGGAAAUUAAUAUAAAGGUUGGGCAUUGCCCGUAAACGUGCUUGUGUGUUUGUUUUCCGCUGCAUACUCUUGUGUUCGUUUACGUGGCUUAAAAAGAGUUGUGUUUGUGUGCGUUUGUGCGAAGGGAAUCGAGAGGAAGGCUGACUGAUUUGGUGGGCAAAUCAGGCCGCACGGGCGAAAAUUUCUUGAGUAAAGAAACCCCUGUGACAACUACCAUAGUAAAUUUAAUAAUGAUAGUAUUAUUUAUAUUUUAUAUAACAUUAGUUUUUUUAUAUCUUACAUAUUAAGAUUUAUAAUCCAAAUUCAAUUUCUAUUUUUAUUGAUGAAAAAUAAGUGAUUGAUGAUUGCUAAAAAUUAUGAUUAGAAAAUUAGUAGAGAAAAAAAUAUUAGAAAUAAAUAAUUACCAAAGUAUCAUUAGGGUAGAAUUCUUCACAACUUAGUUUUAAUUUUGAUAAUUAUUAAAAAUUAUACUUAGAAAUUAGUAGAAAAAAAAAUAUUAAAAAUAAAUAAUUACAGAAAUACAAUUAGGGUUUUCUAGGGUUGCCCAGCGUUUCUUUCUUUUAUAUAUAAGAUAACUGAAUCUGCAGUCGAAACAUGACGAACGUGAAGACUGGACAAUAUCACUUGCUAACAUACUCCCGCAGUCGGAACGAAUAAACUCCAAAAGUGAAGAUUGGACAGAAAUCGCGAAACACAACGCUAGAGAAUUCCUCUAUUAAAAUAUCUGCCCAAUUGAAAAAAAAAUAAAAAAAAAAAUAAUGACGGGAGAAAGAAAAAUAGGCAAUUUUUUUUAUUUGUUUUUGUAUGAAUCGAGAGAGAUUGAGAGAAGAUAUGAGAGUGGGAAGAAGAAUAAUUAAAAGAAGGAUGGAGAUAAAAAGGAGAGAAAGGAGAUUAACCGACUAAUAAUAAUAAGAAGAAGAAGAAGAAGAAGAAGAAGAAGAAGAAGAAGAAGAAGAAGAAGAAGAAGAAGAAGAAGAAGAAGAAGAAGAAGAAGAAGAAGAAGAAGAAGAAGAAGAAGAAGAAGAAGAAGAAGAAGAAGAAGAAGAACAAGAAGAAGAAGAAGAAGAAGAAGAAGAAGAAGAAGAAGAAGAAGAAGAAGAAGAAGAAGAAGAAGAAGAAGAAGAAGAAGAAGAACAAGAAUAAGAAGAAGAAGAAGAAGAAGAAGACGAAGAAGAAGAAGAAGAAGAAGAAGAAGAAGAAGAAGAAGAAGAAGAAGAAGAAGAAGAAGAACAAGAAGAAGAAGACGACCAAGAAGACGAAGAAGAAGAAGAAGAAGAAGAAGAAGAAGAAGAAGAAGAAGAAGAAGAAGAAGAAGAAGAAGAAGAAGACCAAGAAGAAGAACAAUACGAAGACGAAGAAGAAGAAGACGAAGAAGAUGAUGAUNNNNNNNNNNNNNNNNNNNNNNNNNNNNNNNNNNNNNNNNNNNNNNNNNNNNNNNNNNNNNNNNNNNNNNNNNNNNNNNNNNNNNNNNNNNNNNNNNNNNGUGGUGUUCAUGAAAAAGAUAGAAAAAGAACGAUAUUAAGAGUACCACCACCAGGGAGGGAGAAAAUUGGGUGGUCACCGCCAUGGAGAAGAAAGGCGGCUAGGUUUUCACCACCAUGGAGACGUCAUGGAGAAGAAAGGCGGCUAGGUUAAAAAACCUGGUGUUCUGAUACCAUAUAGGAAGAAUAGGAGAAAGAGAGAAAUAAUAAUACGUAAUAGAAACCCCCGUUAUGUUAUGGGUUGAUUUACAUGGAAUAUAUAUAGAGAAAUAUUGAAAGAUAAUAGAGUUUAACUAGGUAACUAAAUCAUGACUAAUCUAGAUAACUGAAUCAUAAUAGAAUCCUAAUAUUAUAAGAGUUCUUAUAAUAUAGUAUACUCUAAUAAAAACAAUUUCAGUCCCAAAUCCAAUUAUCAUCCACCCUCCGCCGCACCAUCACCACCACAUCUGCCUUCAACCUGCUCUCGAUUUGGUGGGACGAAAAAAAUCAAAAAUAUUGGUGGAAAAUGGUGCAGAAAAGCUCCAAACCAAACCGAAUUUCGUAAGAGAAAAUGUUGGAGUGGUGGGGCGGAAGGGGGUAUGCAUAGUUGAAGGCUUGAAGCGGAGGCUGAGGGUAUGGAGGGAGGUGGGGCCGGAGAGAGUGUUAGCCGGAAGGAGAGCGACGACUCGGCUAUGUUCAUUGUAUUUCUGGAAAAAUUUCAAAUUAGUCCCUGGCUUAAGGAAGAAGAUGGCCUUUUUGAAAAUGGGAGGGACUGAAUUCAAAAAUAAAUCAUAAAAUUAUACCAUAUAUUUCAAAAAACAAUCAAAACAUUUGUAACUAAAAUCAGAUCCGAAAUUGGAAUUUUCGGUAAUUUUAUAUACAAUUUCAAACCCGUGCCAACAAAAUGGAAAAAUCGUAAAUUGUAAAAAAAAAAAAAAAAAAACAAUUCUAAAUUCAGAUAUUUUCGAAUCGGAAUCGGUGGAAUUCCAAAAUUCCAUUCCGACACCCCUAACCCCAUUACAUUUUUUACUUUUCUUUAUUCUUUAUUUUAUUUUAUGAGAUGUAUAUAUGAUGAUGUUUUUUUUUUGUCGUCAUAUGCUGAUGAUUUUAACAUUAUUAAAAUAUGCUAUUGAAAUGUUGUUUAUGUUAAUUAUAAAUGUAUUAAGAUUGUUCAUGCUAGUUUAUCAUCAAAUCAAGUUAAUUAACUGUUGAAUCUUUUAAUAUAUUAAAUGUUAAAAUAAUUAACAAGGAGCACCCAAUUAAUUUGCAGAACUAAAUAUUAUCCUUUUAUCUUUUCUUUUCUUGUUGAAUAAAAUUUAUUUGUUAUUUAAAAUAUAUAUUAAACAUUGUAUAUUACUGUACAUUUUGGUAUAGAACUUUAUACAUAAUAUCCAAACUAAUAUAGUUUUAGAGUUAAUUAAGGAUUAUUUAAUUUAAACUUAAUAAUUUAUUUAUAUCUUGAAUUUUUUGAUUAUAUACAUAAGAGUUUAAGAGAAACAAGAUCAUCCUAACCAUUAACGUGGACAAGAACCCAUACGAAGAUUAUAUUAGUGGGUAAAUAAAAUUUUAUUGAAUUUUUUCCCAAUAUUUUAUUUGAUAUUUCAUAUUACACCAUAACUAGCAACUUAUUUUAUAUAAAAUUAAUCAUAUAUAAUUUUAUUUAUUUAUAAAGAAAUUAACAAUGUGCAAUUUUAGUCAAUUAAAUCUUAAAUAUUGUAAAUUAUUGAGUAGAGUAGUAAGAAUGACGUGCAUUGCACGUGGUACUAACUAGUUUAUUUAAAAUUUACGAAUUCAUUUUAUAACAAUUUAAUUGAUCCUGUCCACUUGGUAUUUUGAUCCUAUUCACAAUUAUCUUAUUGAGUAAAUUACAGUUACCCCUCUGAGGUAAGGUCAAAUUACCAAAAACACCUUUUGUUUCGGUAAUUAUAAUCACCCAUCAACUACGAAUCUUCUUAUAUGUCUACUCUUGCGGUGUCAAAUUUAAUGGAAUCUUCUAAAUUAUGUGGAAUAUUCUUAAGUUUGUACCUGUUUCAUUCCAUUCGAGCUUUACAUUUUGAAACUAGAUGAUCAUAGAUCAUAUUAUGUAUCUCUUGGCAUUUAAAUAUCAGAAUGUGGUGCAUAAUAAAAUGCAUAUUGCAUAAAUCGAGUACACACUAGAGAAUAUUUCAUGAAUCUAGAAGAUUAUGUCGAAUUUGACACCAUAAGGAUAGACGUGUAAGAAGAUUCAUAGUCGAGGGGAUGCUAGUACCCAAACAUAAGUGAUUUUUAUGAACAAUAACUAAAAUAUAAAUAAUACCUAAAAUAUAAACACAAAGCAUACCUUAUAUCAAUGAAUUGGAUUCUUGAAUUUUGAAUGAAUCCUUCAAUCUCUUACCAAAUGUUAUGUAGAUCUUUAAAUUUCUCUCCAAUGAUAUAUCGAAGGAAAUAUUAUUGUCUUCCUUCGGAGACCAUGAAGAUCUUUAUACAGGAGCUCUUUUUUUGUUUAUUAUUUCUUUCUCCCAUAUCAUUAAUAGAAGGUUGGCUACAAUUACAACCGAAAUAGAAACCGAGAGUUUUGUGGAUCAAAAAUGCCGAAUCUCGCUGAAUAAUCAUUUGUCAACUUUUGGGCGUAAGUUCCUUGACUUGGACAGAACAUUUAGUACAUGUUGCUAUUCUUGGAUCCAGUGGGGUGUACGUUCGGUGGAAUAAUUUCUUAGAUGUAUUACCGCAUCCCCAAGGCUUAGAUCCACUUUUUUAUAGGGAAAUUCUAUGUUACAUCCGGUUAUUAACACCGGGUAAUUAGUUAAUCGUAAAUUUACACAUAAUCACACGAACUCAUGUAUAUGUGUGCUUAGUAGGUAGUUAUUUAACAUCAUCUGUUGUUAACAUCAUCAUAAGUUAUGACACAUAUGCAAGUUAAUCGUAAAUCUACACAUAAGUAUACUUAUUUCAAAAUUUACUUAAGGGUGGUGUGCAUAAUCGUUGUAAAAAUAGAAAUUGAUGAUUGUGAGUUUAAGUUAAAAAUAAAUGAGUAUCGGCGAAAGUUGAGGAUAUUUGCCAAUACUUAAAAAAAUAACUUGAAGCGGUUAAUCCAGAAGUUAUAAGUAUUUACAAAUCAACUUUAACUUUUAGCUUAUUUUUAUGAAAUAUCCGUGUAAGAAUAAUUUUGAUAAAAGGUAUAAAUGUGAAGAUCGAGGACGAGGAAGAAGAAGACGAAGAAGACGAAGAGCAAGAGGAGGAAGAGGACGAGGAGGAAGAGGACGAGGAAGAUGAAGAGGAAGAGGACGAGGAGGAAAAGUACGAAGAAGAGGUAGAUGACGAAGAGGAGGAGGAAGAGGACGAGGAGGAAGAUGAGGAAGAAAAUGAAGACGAGGAAGACAAGGAAGAAGAGGAGGACGAGGACGAGAAGUACGAGGACGAAGAAGAAGAGGAGGACGGAGUAGAAGAAGAAUCUUCCUCUUCGUCUUCGUCUUCUUCUUCUUCGUCCUCGUCCCCCUCUUCAUCCUCUUCCUCCUCUUCUAAUGGAUUAGGUGUUAAUCUAGCAAUUAGAACCAUAAUUUAAGAUGUAUUAGUGUUGAUACACUAACUUCUCUAUGGUUGGUUAAAGUUGAUUUUUAAUAAUCCCAACUUCUAGAAAUAAAUAAUUAUUUUAAAUUUAACUCACGUUCACUAACUUAAUUCAACUCCAACCUAAACAUUUAAAAUUUUGACAUCCACCUCCUAAGAACUAUGAUUGUUUGCAACCACACCCUCAAAUAAUAAAUUCAAGUUUUUGCAUCCACCUUCUUAGACACAAAUUUGCAACUCCAUCCCUCCAUCUAUCUGUCCGAUUACCUUUUUGCGAAAAAUAUAUAACUUUCUAAUUAUUAAUAAGAAAAUUUAGUUUUUCCUGGCAUUAUGUAGGUGUGAAAAGUAAAAGGGUCAAAUAAGAAAUCAAUGUAUAGUAAAACAAAAAUUAAAGUUAAUGUGUUAAAUGGCUAUGAAGAAGUAAAAUAUAGAUACCAUAGAACCUCGAUAAAUUAAUAACCUUGCAUAAAUAAUAAUUUCUUCCGGUCCCGACUCGAUGUAAACAUACUAAAUUAUUAGUUAGAUAAUUUAAUAUUUUGUUAAAUUAAUAGGAUUUUGCUAAUUCCGACUGUAUUAAUCUAUAGAGGUUUGACUGUACGAUCAUCUUUAAUGAUAAACUCAAUCUCUAACACUUAGAGUGCACAUAGGAUAUUCUGAGAUUUUUGUUUGAGAAUCAUCUCCAAUGCAAAUCUCAAAAAAAAAAAAAAAAAACAAAUCUCCAAAUGACGUCGUGGCACUUGUGAAUUUAGAGAUACUUAAGAUGACACUCUAAAAUUGAAGUGUCGUCUUGAGGACCUAUAAAGUGUCAACUCAUUAUUUAUCACAAUUUUUCUUUUAUUUUCUAAGAAAAUAUUUUGAGUCUUGAGUAUUGUAUCGGAGAAGAUUUUGCAGUAGAAUCUAAAUCCUGCCAAAUAGGAUACAGAAAAUUUUCAAAUUCACAUUUGGUACUUGACAUCUAGGAUUUUCUGAGUUUCUUCUGAGUUUAGCAUCAAAGAUUCUGUAACAUAAUUAAUAUUUAAGCAAUUAUGUUUCUUUAUGUUCGAAUGUGGUGUUUGUACUCUGUGAUUCACCUGGUUGUACCUUGGUAUGGGGAGGAUUCAGAGAAGUAUGUUUGGUCUAUGGGAGAUUUACAGUUUCAUCCCUCAAGUUUGCAACGAUUUUAUAUUUGGUCCACCGUGUUUAUAAAAAACACAUUUGAUCCCUCUGUGUUUCAAUAAUUUGACACUUUUAGUCAUUUUUGUCGAUUCACCGUUAGUCCGUCUGCUACGGCAGUGAUAAGCACACGUUUGAUUCCGCACGGAAAAUUGACGGAGAUGACUAAAAAGUUGAAUUUUUGAAACAUGAGGGACCAAAUGUGUUUUUUGUGAACAUGGUGGACCAAAUGUGAAAUUGGUGCAAACUUGAGGGAUGAAAAUUGUAUUCUUCCCUUUGUUUUAUGCUACACCCAUCAAUGAAUUGUACUGGAAAAAUUAAAGUUUUCACCCCUCAAGUAUUAGACUGAUUACAUAUUUGGUCCCCUAUAUUAAGAAAAAAUACAUUUGGUCCCUUAUGUUUCAAAAAUUCAACAUUCUUAGUCAUUUCCGUCAGCUUACCGUUGGUCUGUCAGUUAAGGCAGUGAGGGUACACACUUGAUUAUGUUGUGAAAUUUGUGCAAACUUAAAGGGUGAUAACUGUAUUUUUCUCGAAUUAUAUAUCCUAGUAAGAAGUACUGUGAGGUAUAAAUAACUGUAAACACAAAUUUUAUUAAUACUUAGACGAUUACUGGAUAUGGAGUGGCGAAAAUCGUGGAUUCUUCUAAUCCCGAUUUCAAGAAAGGCGACUUGAUUUGGGGCUUAACAGGCUGGGAGGAGUACAGCCUUAUUAAAUCAACACAGGGUUUAUUCAAAAUUCAGAAUGCAGAUCUGCCUCUCUCUUACUACACCGGAAUUCUCGGUACGUAAGACGUUUUUGCCCUUCUCUCGUUUUUUUUUUCUUUUUUGCAUGCAUGUAUGUGAUGGACUUUAUAAUAUGAUGUGUAGGUAUGCCUGGUCAUACUGCUUAUAUUGGUUUUUAUGAGAUUUGUUCUCCGGAAAAGGGAGAAUAUGUGUUCGUUUCUGCUGCAUCGGGAGCCGUCGGCCAACUCGUUGGCCAAUUUGCCAAGUUGUUGGGGUGUUAUGUUGUCGGCAGUGCCGGAAGCAAAGAUAAGGCCUUUAAAAAUAUAUAAAGAUCACAAAAUUCAAUUUUGUUUUUGUUUUUUUUUUUUUCCCAUUAUAUUUGCUUUGUAAAUAUAUAUGUAUAACUUUUUUUUAAAUUAAUUUUGUUUGAAGGUGGAUCUUUUGAAGAAUAAAUUUGGGUUUGAUGAUGCAUUGAACUACAAAGAAGAACGUAAUUUAGAUGCAGCUUUAAAGAGGUGAGUUUAUUAUUUCGUGCACGAAAUCUGCAAGUUAGCAAAAUUAAUAUUUUAUUUUUCAUUUAUAACGAAGAAAUAAGCAAGAAAGUAUUUUGCAACUAAAACGCAGCAAGCUAAGUCCUCUAUGAAAAAUACUAGAAAUUUUCAAAGUUUUUAUUUUCAUUUGCUUCUGCAUUUUCAUUUUUCUCAUUACAAAAUCUAUGAAAAAACAAAACAUACAUAACCUAAUUAAUGAAUUGAAUAUUUGUUAGGUAUUUCCCCAAUGGCAUUGAUAUUUACUUAGAGAACGUGGGAGGAAGGAUGCUCGACGCGGUGCUCCUCAACAUGAGAGUCAACGGCCGCAUUGCCGUUUGUGGAAUGAUAUCACAGUACAACCUUGAACAUCCAGACGAAGGUACUCGAAACUUGUUGUGCCUUGUAACGAAGCGAAUACGCAUGGAGGGAUUCUUGGUUUUCGAUUACUACAAUCUCUAUCCAAAAUUCUUGGAGAUGGUGGUCGUCCCGCUCGUUAAACAAGGGAAAAUAACGUACGUUGAGGAUGUAGCCAAAGGCCUUGAGAAUGCACCAAAUGCUCUCGUAGGGCUCUUCUCCGGCUGCAAUGUCGGGAAGCAAGUUGUGGUUGUGGCUAGUGAGUAGCUUGUUUUUUUUAUGAAAUUGUCAUCAAGGACUUCUUUAAUUUGGUUUUUAAUUUUGUGUGUUGCUAAAUGACAUUGUCUCACUCCAAGACCUCUGUUUUUCUUUGUUUUUAAUUUCAUCUUGUACUUUUUUGUUACUAUUGGAGAAAUGAAUAUUAAAUGAUACAUUUCACUGAUAAUAAAAUAAAGAACAAAAUGCACUUCACCCCCUACAAAUUUCCCAUUUUCGCACUUCCCCCUAAGAAUUCAAAAACUAGAUAAUACCCCUUCAAAAUAUUGGUUUGGUUGCACUUUGCUCCAAAAGCCAAUUUUUGGUGGGGCAUUGUGCAACAAAAAUAACAUUUUAAAGGGGCAAUGGGCAAAAAGAUAAUGUUUUAAAGGGGUAACGUGCAACAAAAAUAACAUAUAGAGGGGGCAAUGUGCAACAAAAAUACCCAAAUACUGAUGAAUAAUCCACGAAUUUUUGCUGUCGGAGCAAUGUGCAACAAGAAUAACAUUUUUAAGAGGGACAUUCACUUUUAAAAAUUUUGAGGGAGUAAAGUGCAAAAAUUAUAAAUUUAUAGGGGGUCAUGUGCAAUUUGCCGUAAAAAAAAUUCAUCGCUAAAGACAAAAUAAAUAGUGUUUCGGGGUAUUAAACAAAACUUAUAACAGAUCAAAGCAAAUCAUAAUCUUACUCUGACUACUCUUUUGUUAAUGACUCAUAUAUGCUUGUAAUAUCAGCACAUAACCACCUUCUGGUUGAUGAGGUAGCUUCCGUUUAAUUUCUCCUCAAACUUAACCAUGUGUGUCAAAUUUCAAGGGGACAUCUGCAAAAAAAUACUUUAACGUUUGAUACUGGUGGUUAAGUUUCACGGAAAAACUAAUGGAAGCAUCCAAAUCCACAAAGGGGAAUUGACAACCAAUAAAUAUAUUUUUUUUAAAGAGAGCGAGGGAAAAAAACACUAAAACCACUCAUCUUAAACAUAGAAAAAGUUUAUAGUGAUGUUAGUGCGAUUAACAAAAAAACAAAAGUUAUCGAUCAAUCGGUAUCGACCGAUUAGCGCCUGCAUGUAACAUGUGGGAAUUCUUACGUUUACUAGAAGCCUAUCUUAAACCUAGGAACCUUUUCAACAUGGUCGGGAUUGUUAGCUCAAAGAAAACGUGAAAAACUUAAUUUGCACUUAUUCCACUUUUUCCCUAUCUAAAAUCUUGAAAGAUACUUUUUUUUUUCUUCUUUUAAUACGAAAAUACACAUGCCACCCUUAAAGGAAGUACAUCAAUAUAUAUAUAUAUAUAUAUAUAUAUAUAUAUAUAUAUAUAUAUAUAUAUAUAUAUAUAUAUAUAUAUAUAUAUAUAUAUAUAUAUAUAUAUAUAUAUAUAUAUAUAUAUAUAUAUAUAUAUAUAUAUAUAUAUAUAUAUAUAUAUAUAUAUAUAGGGCAAAUUACCAAAACCCCCCUGAGGUAAGCCUAAAUAACGAAAAUCCCCCCCACGUUCUCGUAAUUACGAAAACCCCCCUGAGGUAUGCAGGCAUCUUACAAAUCGCUCUAACGGUGUUAAACUCGACAGAAUCUUUUUGAUUCUCUCGAAUAUUCCUCCGAUAAUACCAAUUUUGCCCUUGUACACGAAAUUACCCUUAGGGGGUAAUUGUAAGCAUUUUAUUUAAUGAGGGGUCAUAAAUAUAUACUCUUCAUGAAAUCAUCUUUCUUUUACAGUCCCAGUAGUUUAAAUGACUGGGUAAUUUCUUCGGCUUCUGGAGCUGAUCGGCCGGCCGGCAAAAUCUACGCGUGUUUUUGGACCGAGAUUCGGUGUAGUGCCAAUUCCUCCAAAUUCGUCGGUUUAGACCUGUCGAUGAAGAAUCUCGGCGGCUCGUUAUCCGGGAAGCAGUUCGGUUUGUUUUCCGAUCUCGUCGAUCUUAAUCUGAGUCAUAACUCGUUUUCCGGCCAGCUUCCCGCCGGUGUUUUCAACCUCACUAACCUGGAAUCGUUGGACAUCAGUAGGAACAAUUUCUCCGGGUUCAUUCACCUCGCCGGAAAUUUCCUCGGCGGCGCAAUACCGCCGGAGCUGGGGAAUCUGAGAUUUCUCACACACAUGGAGAUCGGCUACAACUCCUACGAGGGCGAAAUCCCUUGGCAAUUCGGUAAUAUGAGCGACCUCCAGUACCUCGAUAUCGCCGACGCAAAUAUCUCCGGCCAAAUCCCUAACCAACUCAGCAACCUCACGAAACUCGAAUCGCUCUUCCUCUUCAAGAACCAACUCACCGGAAAACUCCCGCCGGAGCUCAGCAAAAUCUCCACCCUCAAAAGCUUAGAUUUCUCACUAUAUUUAACGGGCGUAAAUUUUUGGGCAUUGAGGUCUGAUCAAAGGCCAUAACACUAAUAAUUUCUUUUUCAGCUUUUUUCUUUUAUUUUCACAUAUUUAACAGAAGGAUAUAAUAGACAUUUCACGUUUUCGGUUAAAAAAAUUUGGUCAACCGUUAGUCAAGGGGGGUUUUCGUAAUUACGAGAACGUGGGGGGGAUUUUCGUUAUUUAGGCUUACCUCAGGGGGGUUUUGGUAAUUUGCCCUAUAUAUAUAUGAGAGUGUAGAUUUACCCAGUGCACAUAUAUGGUUGACUGUAGAUUCCUUCGGUAAAAGAAAAAAAAAUGUUUCCACCUCAACAAGAAAGCGACCCACACUUUAAAAAAGAAAACGACUCAUUGAAAUUAUUGUCUUAAAACAAGCAUGUGUUUUACAUGAAUAUUAAUGAAGAGAAACAGAUAAAGUGGCACUCUCUACUCUCUAGUUAUCAGGGCCAGCUCAAUACACUCUGUCUCACUCUAUACGUUAAAUUCAGUCCCUUUCGUAUACUUUUAUUUAAUAUUCUACCUUUUUUUAGGGAUAAUUACAUUUUAGUCCCUCACACUGACAUUAUUUUCACUUUCAGUCCUCUAUUUGCCACAUUGUUAAUAAAUACCAUUCUAAUAUUAAAAACUUAUGACGCAUUUGGUCCCUCCGCCUGUUUGACCGUAGGUAACUAACUUUAAGUACCCUAUGUCAUCAAAAUUAGCAAAUGUCACCCAAUUAAAUACUUCUGCAUAGUAUUGGUGACGGUCAAAUGUUAAGUGUAUAUUUUUACAUUUAAUUAUAUCUUUUAAUUGGAACUUUUGAUGUAUUUUAUUGAUAAUUGGUGCUUAAUAUUUUGAUUUAUUGUGUUUUAGGCACAAAUUGAAGGAUUGAAUAAAUUAUGGGUCAAAACUACAAUUUAGAAGAAAAGGUGGACUACAUUGGAGAAGUCAAACACCCGAGAAGGAAAGACUGCGCAGUAAAGAAACUUUCAGAAGUUACAAGGAAACUGCAUUUUCCCCAAUUUUUCCCACCUUACAAAAAGCCAUCUCAAGCACACAAUUGGGGCAUUUUUUUUUUCUUACGCAAAUUCAAGGCAAAGAAGAUCAACGAAGACUCAAUCAUAGUUUUUCUUAUUUAAUUUAUUUAUUUAUUUUAUUUUCUUUAUCAUAAGAAUCACGAGUAACUAAGUCUUUAGUUUAUAGGGUUUUAGUUGAACCCUGUGUGGGAUUUGUGAACCCAAUACCAUGAUUUUAUGCAAGUAUUAAUUUAGAUUAUUCUUCUACUUGAUUUAUUAAGUGAAUUAACUUGAUCACUUUAUGUGGUUUACUGUUAUUGUUGAACGCAUGAAUCGGAAGAUCGGUUUAACAAUUAGAACUGUGGUAGAAGAGCCUUUGUUGUGUUAUCAUAGGAAUAUAGUUAACCUCUUAGGUAGCCAUUAUUGAGAUUUGUGCUUAAUGCUUUGUUCUUGAUUGAAUUGCGUAGGAAUACAGUAAUUUAGUGUUGAGUAAUAGAAUCAUAAUACACGCGGAAUAGGGUUAUGAUUAAUUUAGCAUCUCAGGUUAGUAAUUCGAAUUAUUUGCUUGCAUAAUUGAGGAAUCAAUAAUCACAUAGUGGGAAGAUAAAAUGCUAGGCUCGCUAACUUUGAUAAUCUUCGUCUUUAUUUAUUUUUCUUGAUAUUUAAUUUGCUUUUAAUUUUUUAGUUUAAUUUAGUUAAUCAUCUUUAAUUAGACUGUGUAGGCUGAGCGAACAUAGUUGUGAGAAUCUAGCGCUUACGAUUAGACAGUAGAAUAUUCCUCGUGGGAUCGAUAUCUGGACUUAAUUGUCCACUAUAUUACUUGUACGAUACGUGCACUUGCGUUUAGGUAUUCCAAGCAACAUCAAACAGACGGAGGGACGAAAUAUGUCAUAAGUCGGUGAUAGGAGUGUUUUUAUACCCGGUCAAGGUAAUAUCAAGUGAGUUUUUACGUUGAUCUAAUAUGGGUGUGUGUGUGUGUGUGUUUGUGUGUAUAUGAAUAAUACAAAUCUAUUCGGAGUAUUUUGCUCGGUGCAGAACCGUAUAAACUGUAAUUUCACUCAUAUUUUUUAUGAGCGUAGUGUAUUUUGUUUAUUUGUGGUAAGAUUAUAUUGACGUUGAUUUAUGUAGUCUCGUUCUUUUCAAAUGUAAAACACCACUUGCAGGGGCGGAUCCGGACCAAUAUUUGUUCGGGCGGACGUACAUAUAGAGGUAGAUUCAAUUUUUUGGGGUUCGGGGCAAAAAACACACGUUAAUAAAUAUUAGGGUAAAUUAUACUUUCCCCCAUUGUACUUUUCUUCGAUAUUACUUUGCUCGAUUCUACUCUCGGUUGCAUCGAUUUGCCCCUUGUUCUUGAAAAUUUGUCUCAAUGUGGUCCUCGCCGUUAGAUUUCAGACCUUUGACUUUAACACCGUUUGACUAAGUCUGAAAAUUACAAAAAAAACCACCCCUCCGAGUUUUAAAUAAUUAUUAAAAAAAAAGUAAAUUGUGGUAAAACAAAUGAUUUUUUUUUUCUUGGAGUGGCGGGGGACCAGUUGCAUGAAAUUUCGCUUAUUAAUAAGACAUCAUGUUCUUCUACAUUUAGAUACAAAAAAUUGAAGUGACCAAAUGGCGGCCUUAUCAGCAGUUCCUUCCAUGGAAGACCUAAAGAUCAAGUUCCAAGAAAGCUCUCUUAUCUUCCCAUACAAAGAAACACCGAAAAAAUCGAUUUUCUUGUCCAACAUCGAUCAAAUCUUGAACUACGAUAUCCCGACUGCCCAUUUCUUCAAGGCAAACCCAGAUUUCCCGCCAGAAAUAAUGGCCAAAAGGUUGAAAAUUGCACUGGAGAAGGUGUUGGUGCCGUACGAUUUUAUGGCGGGAAGAUUGAAACUAAACCGGGAAUUGGGCCGGCUGGAGAUAAACUGCAACGCGGCGGGGGCUGGCUUUGUGGUGGCCAAGUCCGAUGUUUCUCUUGAUGAGAUUGGUGAUGAGAACCUCGUUUGCCCGAACCUCGGAUAUCGACAGCUGGCUGUCCAGAGAUUGGAUAGCUUGCCACCUGAAGUUGACCAGCCACUCUGUGUUUUUCAGGUAUAGAAUUUUCAUGCAUUUUAAUUGUGUGUUAUAUAAUACAUUAGUUGGUAAUUUACAGUUUUCAUCACUCAAGUUUGCACUAGUUUUACAUUUGGUUAUUUGAGUCAAUUUACCCUCAGUCCAUCAUCAGUUACAGUAGUGAUGGACACAAGUUUGAUUCCGUUAGUUUUAACAGAAAAUUGACGGAAAUGAGUAAAAGUGUUGAAUUUUUUAAAUAUGAGGGACCAAAUAUGAAACUAAUGCAAACUUGAGGGACGAAAACUUUAAUUUUCCCUAUAUUACUCGAUUCUUAUAGUUCAAGCACUAUUUGCAGGUAACAUCAUUCAAGUGUGGUGGUUUUGCAAUUGGCAUGUCUACGAAUCACAUCUUAUUCGACGGCCUAGGCGCCAAAGUAUUCCUCCUAAACCUAGCUUCCCAAUCUUUCGAAAACAAACCCUUAGCCAUUGUACCCUACAACGACCGUCGGAUUCUCUGCGCUAGAUCUCCACCGCACGUUUCCUACCCACACCGCGAGUUCCUCAAAUUCGACCUCCCCGUGGGCCUAGGGUCAACUCCCCCAAAUUUUGAUUGCAUCAUAGAAGAACUCGAUUUCAAAAUCGUCAAACUCACCACAACUCAGAUAUCCAACUUAAAGGACAAUAUUACUAAGACGUCCAAAAUUGACAAAAUUAGCACCUUUGCGGUGGUGGCCGCCCUCAUCUGGCGGUGCAAAGCCUUUUCCGAUGAUAAAAAUAAGGUUUCGACUCUGCUUAACGCUAUCGACAUUAGGCCAAUAGUGAACCCCCCAUUACCAUAUUCGUACUCGGCCAACGCAGUGCUUCCCUUGGGAGUUUCAGAAACUUGUGAAGAAAUAAAAAACGGGCCGUUUUCGAAGCUCGUGGAGAUCAUCACCGAAGGGGCUAAAGAGAUGACGCACGAGUACGUGAAAUCGGCUUUCGAUUGGUUGGAGCUGAAUAGAGGGAUUCCUCAUGGGGAUUAUUUUAAGGUGAGCUCAUGGCUUAGAUUAGGGUUUGAUGAGGUGGAGUAUGCAUGGGGGAAGCCGAUAUACAGUUGUCCGGUGGUGAAUCAUCGAAAAGAUAUUUGUUGGGUUUUUCGAGAUGCCGUUGAUGGUGGUGUUUCUGCAAUGGUGGCUUUGCCUUCUCAAGAGAUGGACAUAUUUGAGGCUGUUUUUCAUGACUUCAUUGCUUCAAUAUUGGUUCACUUGUGACGGACAAAUUGCUGCAUAUAUAUAUAUAUAUAUAUAUAUAUAUAUAUAUAUAUAUAUAUAUAUAUAUAUAUAUAUAUUUGUUUGUGUGUAUAGUAUUGUUCUUCUUUUUCAUUUUAUUGUUGUGUGUUUAAUUGAGCAUUAGCACUGACCAUGCACCCCUUUGUAAUCUCGAAUUGUAAAACAUGUUCUCAAGUUAAAAUUAUUAGCAAUAAAACCCCCAAUGUUGUGUUUUGUGAAACACGCUGCCCCUUUACAUUAAAAUUAUUUGUUGACUUACGUGAAAUGACAAAACUAUCCUAAUAAAUAUUACAAUUUUAAAUAAAAAAUGAAAAAAAGAAAACAAAACAAAGUUACAUUUUAAAGGAAAGAUAAGAAAAAAAAAAUCAUUUUCAUUCCCAAAUCCAAUUAUCAUCCACCCUCCGCCGCACCAUCACCACCACAUCCGCCUUCAACUUGUUGGUUUUGACUAACUUUUAUAGGGGGUCUUUGUUAAUUGUUUUAACACAUAUACUUUUGUAACAAUUAGAGAUUACACAAGGGUGGUUAGUGUUAAAAGACUGUGUUUAAUUUGUUUUGGAAUUUCAUGAAACGUAUUCCAUUUUGGAUCUAUGAAGAAGUACCAAUUUUAACCUUAUUAGUAAUUGUAAUAAAAAUAUUUAAUUCCAUGAGGGGUACUUAAUUGCAAUAUAUUAUGUAGAAUGAAAUAUAUAUGAUCGUUUUGUUCUAAAGUUAUAAGACUGAUAUUGGAAAGGAGGAGCAUGUGAGAAAAAAAAAACAUAAAAUUACAAAUUCAAUUAUAAAGUUCACUUUUUGGACGAACCUGUAACAAUAAAGUGAAAUUUGGGCUGGUUAAAAAAUUUAGUUACAUAAGGGGUCUAAAGGUGUUCUUUCAGCGUUCUCACGUGCAAAACUCCAAAUUAACACCAAAAUCAAAUGGUAGACCAUAAUUGUUAAAAAAAAAAUAGUUAAUUCAAGAAUUAAAAUCGUAACAAGAAUAAUAUAAGGACUAAAAUCAAUUUUGGAGUAUUAUAUAGGAACCAAAAGUGUAAUUAUCUCCAAUAUAGUCCUUACACAUUUUUCUGUUAAGAACUCUAAUCAACGGUUAGUCAGAGAGGGGUUUUGGUAAUUAUGAAUUCGUGAGGGGGAUUUUGGUAGUUUGACCUUGGUAAUAAGAUGGUCUUUGAAAGUUUGAAGAAUCCGUCUACUCCUUGCAGAUUUCGACAACAAAAGCCAAUGGUCGGCAAACAAAUGGUGAAUCUUCGCAAACUCCGAUGGAUAAUGUAUUUUAAAUUAUAAUUAGGGAAUACAAAAUAAAAAUUUGACGUCAAUUCCGAUUUCGUUUUCUACCAAUAGUCCAAAACUUUAUUCAAGUUUAAUUACAUGCCUAUGGUUUUGGUAAAUUUCUCCGAGUUGCAAUCUCUAAACUUAGAAUUUGGUAAUUUCGUAAUUUGGCAAAAAGUUGUAAGUUUGAGAACUAAAUUUGUGGAAGAAAAUGUUCGGGGCCAAUAAUUGUUUUGGAUUGUAAGUAUAAGGACCAAACAUAUAAUUAUUUUGCUAAAUAGUUAAGAGCAAAUUUAGCACACUAAUUAAUAUUGCAGCAACUUGAUUUUUAUUAGGCACAAACAUAACACAACACCAAAUAUGAAUUUCGGAAUUACAUUGAAAAAAGUGUGCAUGUGGUCGAGAUAAAUAAUUGUGUAACUAGACAUAUAUACUUCUCUCGUUAAGCACAUGCUUUCUCAAACCAGGGAUGUGAACUUCUUGAAAAUACUUUCUCCACUCUAUUUUUGUUACAUCCAGGUCAAAGUUAAUCUGCUCUUCCUUCGACAUUUCGUACAACAACUUCUGAGUAUUGCCGGCAUGGAAUCUAUCUCGGGAAGAAAAAAAAACACGAAAGGAAAAGGAAAAAUAUAGUUAAAUGAUUAUUUUGAUUGAACAUAUUAAUUAAGCUCUUUGUGUGAUGUGCAUUUUCAUGUUCGAUUUCGUCUUUCUUAGCUCUCUCCCUAAGCUAUCUAUGUGUUGUGAAUUACAAUUACUAAUGUAGUGUUAAGCUCUCAGUCUAAGCUCUCUCUACGUAAAUUUUAUGUUCGAGUGUAUUCAUGUAUUGCUUAGCUAGUCAUCUUUCUAUUUGUUGUUGCGUGCGUGUGUUCAUCUAUUGUUAAUUAGGUGGUGUUUGCAAAAAACAAUUGAAAAGUGAUUCUGAGUUUUGUGUGGCUCAGAAUCGCUUUAGAAGUGUUUGUAGUACUAACUUUUGUUUCUACUUCUCUUAAAAUAAGUUGCAUGCUUUAGGCUGAACUAUGAAAAGCACUGGAGCAACUUCUCGUAAAUAAAUUGACUAAAGUUGAUUUUUCAUGGAGUGUGCAAACACCCAAAACUUUCAGAAUUAAGUACUUAUCACUAACGAUACUCAUGGUCGUAACCACCGAAUUCAUUUUUUUUAAGCUUCUGCAAAUACUACCUAAGUCGUCAGUCUAAGUUCUCGAUGUAUUGUUAAGUGGAUAUGUUCGUGUAUUAAUGGUCAGAAGGGUUAAAUUGUUCGAUUAACGGAUUUUUAAUUAGAUCAAAAAUAUAAAACAUGAGUUCAACAUUUAAUUUUAAGAUAGAGAUAUAAUACAUACCUUGCUUUGAAGAGCCCCACGAAUUCAUACAUCUUGCACAAGUUCUCGGCAUACAUGAUCUUUGCUCUGCAUUGCGUUUGCGCCUUCUUAGUUGCUACCACAUUUCCUCCUCCAACACGUCGAGAUAUUUCUUCUCGUGUAUAUUUCGAGAAAUCAUUGAAAUUAUCGAAAUAUUUAAUUUUUUCAAUAUCAUCAUAGUAGUUCACCCUAAUUAAACUUUCCGAUUCUACCAAAGGUUCCGAACUGAAAUAUUCGUAAAGAUACUCGAAAAAUUCCGAGUAUCGUAAAGGGUUCGUGACACUAGAUGACAUGUGGUAAACAUUCAACUCCGGCUUUUGAAUAUAACCGUGCUUUGCUAUCGCUGCAAUUGUUCCAUUUACGACAAUAUCCAACGGAAUCUGGGAACAAAUAGUAGUCAAAGACAGUGAACAAUUAUCCAUAAUUAUUCAGAAGAAACGAAUUAUGUACUCAAAAUAGGAUUUUUCGAUAUAUCAUAUUAAAUAAUUUUGAAGGAGAAAAUUACAGUUUUCAUCCCUCGAGUUUGCACUAAUUUCACAUUUUGGUUAUUUUCGUCAAUUUAUCGUUACUCCAUCCGUUAAUAAAGUGAUGGGCACAUGCUUGAUUCCGUUAGUGACAACGGAAAAUUAACAGAAAUAACUAAACAUGUUGAAUUUUUGAAACAUGACUACAUGAGGGACCAAAUGUGUUUUUUGUGAAAAUGAGGGACCAAAUGUGUAAUCAGUGCAAACUUGAGGGACAAAGUUGCACUUUUCCCAAUUUUGAAGUAAAUUACCAAAUGUAAAUUUAUUUCAAACUUGAAGUUCUUAUUUUCGUAAAAUAAAACGAUCAGUAAGUUGCAAAAACUGUUUAUUAAAGUGAAUUUAUUAUUACUAUUCAUUUCUAAAAGUAUGAAAAAAUGGUAAAUCAUAUAUAUAUAUAUAUAGAGAGAGAGAUUUAGAAUAAUAUUUUCAAACAUGAUAUAUUGUUUAUGUAAACUUACAACAUCCAUGGGGGAAUCAGGCUUGCCUAGAAAGGCUGGAAGCUGUCCUCUUCCGUAUGAAACAAUUACGGGAUCGAACAUCCUACAAACGCGACAACCAACAUUAUUAAUUCGUUUCCGCGAUAAUUUGAAAUAAUUAAAUAUUUUUUUAAAUAAAUAAAUAUAUAUAUAUUCUUUUCACCUAUUUCCUUGAAUCCAGCCAGGGAUAGGUUCUUUGUAGCAACUUUCUAUGACAGUUGGCCUAAUGAUGACGACCGGUAUAUCCCCUCUCGUUUCAUUAAUUACCAUUUCUGCCAUCGCCUUUGUCAAGUGGUACGUAUUAUACCAUCCGUACAAAUUUGCUCUGUUAAAAUAACAUCAAAAUUCACAUAAGUUUAUAUAUUUUUUUUUAUUAAUUUUUUUUUCGAUUUACGUACAGACUUUUAAAUGAAGACGGUCACAUUUUUUUACCACGUGUGUACAUUUUACUUUUUUGUCGUAAUUUUGGCCCAUUAGUUUCCAUAGAAUGUAUAAGCAACAAUAAUAAAUAAUCCAACUGAUAACUAACAUCUACUGUUAGAGUAGAGGUCUAGUGUUCAAAUUCUGUCAAUUCAGUACUAGCUAUUUUUUUCCAAUUUCUAAUAGAGUUUGAAUUUUAGAUAGAAAAAAUAAAAAAUAAGAUAACCUUUCCAUUCCAAGCUUUUUCAUAUCUUUGGUCAUAUCAUAGUUUGAAGAAGCUGUUCUUGAACUCAACGCCACCAUGUUUACUUCGUCGGCUAUAUUCAGACGAGGAAAUUGAGAUGUUUCGCAUAUGUCGUUUCUUCUAUUCUCCCCCAUAAUCAAUGGCUUUUCUAAUAUUAUCCCUUCUUUCUCUCCGUUGACAUAUGCUAUAAUAACAUUGCAUUUAAUAAAUUAGGGAUAAACGAAAAGAGUUAAUUUCAUAAUUCGUCAUUUUUGAUAUGUACUUACCGGUUGAAAUAUGGACAAGGAGCUCAAGGUUCUUGCACGUCUUAGCAAAACUCAUCAAGUGUUGAAGGCUACUGACAUUAGCUUCGAGCAAAACAUCGUACCUGCGUGAAAUUUUAGAUAGUCUUGAAAGUGAGGUCACAUUAUUUUAAAAUGUCAAUGUUUGAAUUUGAUCGAUUUUGAUGGGAAAUAAGAAGAGAGAAUAAACUUAACCUUUCGUUUAAGGUUGUAAUGGCGGCGGAUUGUAUAAUCACAUUGACAUUUUCAAUGAUUGCAUGAGCAGAAUCGGAGUCCAUUCCGAGGUUUGGCUCACAAAUAUUUCCAGCAACUGGUAUCAGAGUCUCCCUUAUAAAUGCUUGGUAAUAAUUUCCAUGUUUUUCUUCUAGAGAUCGGAAUAACUCGGAGUUUACAAGCUAACAAAAAAGCAAAAAGAUUUGCAUUAAUAUAAGGGUUAAAUACACUUUGCACCCCUGAAUUAUAGUCUAUGUAACACUUACCCUCUUAAAGUAUCAUUUAUAACACUUACCCCCUCAACAUCAAUUAUUUUAUAUAUUAAAAUUUAAAACAUAAUAUACAUAACAAUCUAAUAAUUAUUGGAUAAUAUAAAAUUGAAAAGUAACUAAAAUUAAAUUAUUAGAAAAUAAUUAAAAACUAAUAUAUUUCUAUAAUAAUGAAUGGAAAUAUAUUUUAAGAAAUUAAUGAACUGAAAUAAAUUUAACUACUUAAGAUUACUAUAUAAGUUAUGUAUUGAUUUCUUAAAAUUUAUCGAUAUGAACAUAUUCGAUUAAUUGGUCCUACAACAAUUAAAUGUUAUUUAUUAAAUAAGUACCUAACGCAAGAUAAUAUCUUCAAAUUUUACCAUUUUUCAACAAAUAUUUUUAGUUGUAUAAUUUAAUUAUUAUUUUAGUUAUUAUUUUCAAUACAAGAGAAAAUCUUAAGGUAUUAAAAUAUAACAUGCAAAUUAAAUUGUGCUUAAGACCUAAGGGGUAAGUGCUACAGAGAGUAUACUUUACAGGUGUAAACUGUAUUUAACCCAAAUUUUUAAUUAAAAACCUAAUCAUGCAAUGCAAAACAUACUUCUUUGGCUAUUCUAUCAACGGCUCCUUCUUGAUCGUCCGCUUUCACGAGUACGUAAAUCUUACCCACCGGUGUCGACCUUAAUAUCUUCUCCACGAGAACUACACAAUUUUAUGUAAUAUUUAUUUAGAAGAAAAAAAAAUGAAUGAAUAUAAACUAUAAUUUCCACAAAAAAAAUAAGUGAAUUAUAUAUGUACUUUUCAUGAAAUAUAUAUAUAUAUAUAUAUAUAUAUAUAUAUAUAUAUAUAUAUAUAUAUAUAUAUAUAUAUAUAUAUAUAUAUAUAUAUAUAUAUAUAUAUAUAUAUAUAUAUAUAUACCUUUUCCAAGAAGGCCAGUUCCACCAGUAAUAAAAAUGUUUUUUCUUUGAAAAAACUGAAGUAUGCCUAUACCCUUGCCAGAAUCUAUUAAUCCUAGUGGUGCUUCCAAAUUACUUGAGUUGGCUAAGUUGCCAUUGUUAAUAGCUGCUUUUGUAAUAUUAAUAUUAUUUUUAUUAUUAACUAAGAAUUGAACCCUGGAUUUCUCAUGACAAGAAAAGUUGUUAAGUUCCCUAACUCUUACUAAGCAACAUAGUUUGCUUAAUUAAAGAAAAUGGUUUUGUGUGUGUGUGUGUGUGUGUGUGUGUGUGUGUGUGUGUGUGUGUGUGAGAGAGAGAGAGAGAGAGAGAGAGAGAGAGAGAGAGAGAGAGAGAGAGAGAGAGAGAGAGAGAGAGAGAGAGAGAGAGAGAGAGAGAGAGAGUUUGGUAAUUUUUAAUGUGAUAUUAUGAUCCAAAUAGAGGUCUAUUUAUAGGAAAAAAAAUGGUAUUUAGAGAUUCCAUGAAGUUAGGUGGUUACACGGAUUUGUAGUCCCAAAUCCAGAUGAAAUACACCAUGUGGUUUUGCACUUUACAUUUCAAAAUAAUAGUGCGCGCACCCAUAUUCAUGUGUGCUUAGUCGGUUGAAAGAAUUCAAUGCUGCCGAAUUCAUAUAAAUUAAGAUAUGCAAUACAAAAUCAGAGAUUUACACAUAUAAUUUGAUAUAAGCUUGUGUAUUAUGCAGCGGAAAUUACCAACACAAGCCUUUAAAUCAUUAUCCAUCAGUGUAUAUAUAUAUAUAUAUUCAAAGAAUACACUAAGAAAAGUAAAUAUCUUUCUUCUUAUGAAAAUUAUUUCUUCGUACAAAAAUUCCUAUUAUUGAAGGCAAUUUAUAGCAGAAAUCUAGUAGUACAGACUAGUAUUCAAUGAAAUUGAAUACAAACAGACUCAAUUCUAUAAUAAGACAAUAACAAACAUAAAUAAAGUAUUAUUGAAGAUGUUCCAACAGCCAAAAUUUUUUUCUCCCAACUCUCUUCAGAAAAUUGGUAGUUAAUUAAUAGGCAUAGUGGGUAUACCAAUCUGAAUUUUGGAUCUUUAUUCCUUUUAAAAUACCUAGGCAUUAUUUAUUUUGGCAGAUAAGACAAAUGUUCAGUUAAAAAUUAUGUUCACACAUUCACACAUAAUUACAAAUUUACAACUCUGUUGACUUAAUUAAAUUAAUAGUAGACCAAUAUCGCAAGAUGACCAAAUAUUCCGUUAAAAAUAGCUGUUCACACUUACAAUAUUUGUUUAAUAAAAUUACCAAGUCAGAUUAACUUAUUAAUUAAUGGAUUAAUUUGUUAAGGGGUAAUGGCAAAUAGGCCCAUGACAAGGGCACUUAAUUAAAAGAGGGACAUCCAAUUUUUUUGUCUUUCAAAUAAAUUCAGUCCAUUAAUACUUAUUUGCAAAUAAGGAAAAUCUUUUUAUAUAUACCAAAAUUACCCCCAGUUCAUUAUAACCCAAUUUAACUCCAACUUCAUGAUUUACACCCCAAUUUAGCCCAAUUUCAUCAAUUAACCAAUUUUAACCCUAAUUUCAAUUUUGACCCCAAUUUUGACCCGCCACCACCGGAGACCGCCCGGUCGCCGGCGUUGGCCGGCGUUGACUUUUUUUUUUUUUUUGUUUUUUCUUAAAAAAAUAUUUUAAUUAAUUUUACUGUCUUGGCUGCUAAAUUACUGUCUCCGGCAGCUAUUUAACUGUCGGAGACAGUAAUUUAACUGUUAAUUGACUCUUUUUUUUUUCUUCAAAAAUAUUUGAAUUAAUAUUACUGUAUUCGUUGCUAAAUUACUGUCUCCAGCAGUUAUUUAACUGUCGGAGACAGUAAUUUAACUGUUAAUUGACUUUUUUAUUCUUAAAAAAAAUAUUAUUAAUUAAUAUUACUGUAUUCGUUGCUAAAUUACUGUCUCCGGCAGUUAUUUAACUGUCGGAGACGGUAAUUUAACUGUUAAUUGACUUUUUUUUCCUUAAAAAAAAAUAUUUUAAUUAAUAUUCCUGCCUUGGAUGUUAAAUUAUUGUCUCCAACAGUAAUUUAACUGUCUUUGACAAUAAUAUUAAUAAUAUUACUGUUCGAAAAAAUAAUAUUCAUAAUAUUACUGUCCCAAACAGUAAUAUUACUGUCUGAGACAGUAAUUUAGUAGCCAAGACAGUAAUAUUAAUUACAAUAUUUUUUUUCUAAGAAAAACAAUUCAAAAAAAAAAAAGUCAACGCCGGAGACCGGCAGUCAACGGUGGUUGAUCGGCCGGAAAAAAAUUUCAGAAAAAAAAACAAUUUCAAAAAAAAAAAAAGAAAAAAAAAAGUCAACGUCGGAGACCGGCGGUCAACGCCGGAAUCUGGCCGGAAAAAAAAACAUUUCAGAAAAAAAAUUAUUUUCUGAAAAAAAAAGUUUUGGGGGUUAAUGUGAUAUAUUUGUUUAAAUCCGGGGUCAAUGUGUAAUAUUAAGGAAGUUAGAACAUAAUGGGUGGAAUUGUUAAGAAUUAUAUUAUUGAGGGUAUUUUAGACUAAAGACAUGGGGAUGGGCUUAAUUGAGAGACUGUUUUUUUUUGUGGACUAAAAUGCAUUUAAGUCCCAUGUGAUGGGCCUUUUUGCCAUUUGAACAUUUGUUAAAAGUCCUCCUACCGUAAAUUUUAGUCCGAAUGGAGACAAGAUAUUUAUGGUUAUCAAAUACUUCCUCUGUUACGUAAUAAUUGUCUAUUUUUUAAAAAAAUUUUGUUCCAUAUUAUCUGUCACUUUAGAUUUCCAAUACUGCAUUAAAUGUAUUUUUCCUAUUUUAACCUUAUUAAUGAAAUUAUAUUUAUUAUUGUUCUCUUAUAAAUCAUUAAAUAAUAAAUGUUGUUUUAGCCAUUUUUAUAUGAUUUUACUAAAAUCAAGAUAUAUUUAUUGAGUUUCUUAAUUUUUGUGAAAAGUGAAAAAUGACAAUUAUUUAGGAACGAAGGGAGUAGUAAAACUCUCCGGAUUUACUGUUCAAAGUAAGAAAAUAGUAUCUAGUGUUUAUAUGGACGAUAGUACCCUCCAUUAAACUAUUGAAAGUUGAAAGACACCCCCUAUCACAAAAACUUGACAUUGUGAUAACAUUAAGUGGAACUAAUAAAUUAUAGGGUAAAUUACAAACACCCUGAGGUAUGGAUAAAUUACAAAAAUCCCCUUCUUGUUAGGAUAAUUUCAUCUACUCCCUCAAUUAUGAUUUUUUCUUACACCUCCACCUUUAUGGUGCAAAAUUCAACAUAAUCAGAUCCCGUGAAAUGUGCUCUAGCUUGUACUCGUUUUGUGUAGAAAUACAGUUUUCGAUGCACCACAAACUGAUAUAUACAAGCUAAAAAUCACAUAUUAUGAUCAUCUUGCUUCAUAAUGUAGAGUUUGAAUGGGAUAAAAUGGGUACAAAAGUGAUAAUAUUCCAUAUAAUCUCGAAGAUUCUACUACUAAAUUUGAGGAGUUGAGGGGGUGUUUGUAAUUUACCAUAAAUUAUAUAUAUAUAUAUAUAUAUAUAUAUAUAUAUCAACUUAGCGAAACUCGUUAAGGAUAGAGAUAAACAACGUAGAUUAUUGAAAAAUGUAAUGAUUGUGAAAAUUUUUUAAAUUCUUGAAAUAGAUAAAAUUAAUUUGAUAAAAGAACUCAAUGUCUAACUAAUUACAAUUGAUCUAAGACAUAUCAUUCACAUCAAUUGCAAGAUAAGUGUAAAGAAUUCCAACAAAUACUUAAAAGUGUGUAAGAUAGUAUAGUUAUGGUUAUUCAAAUUAUUGAACUGUGUAUAUAUUUUCAAUACCAUUUUAUUGUCUAAAAAUGGAACAUCAUAAACGGAUUCUUCUCUCGCCUAUAAUCAGACCUAGGGUUGUCCGCGGGUUGGGUUAGUUGAUUAUCGGCAAUUAAACCAACACAACUCAACUAACCGACAAUGGUAAAUAUUGAAAACUAUUAUCGACCCAACUUAAAUGGGUUAGAUGUUGGUUGACAUCCAACUUUGUAGGUCGAUUGGUGGGUUGGUUGAUUGGUCAUCCACAUUUCAAAAAAAAAAUCAUUUUUUUGAAUAUUUUAUUAAAACAAUAUUAUAUUAUUCAAUUAAUAAUUAGUUCAACAAUAUUUAAUAAAAAAAUCAAAAUAUUAAGUUAUAUAUGUUGCAAUUAAACAUAAAUAGUUCAACAAUAUUAUAAUAAAUUUAAAUAUUUUAUAUCAUGUGUCUUAAGAUCAAAAUAGCUACACAACAUAUUGAAAUUUUAUGUGUUCUUCAAUUAGCAUGAACUGAACAAGAAUUCAAUACUUCAGAAUAGUAAAUGUCCAUAAAUUAGGUUCAUGUGUUUUGAGUUUAGUCAAUAUUAGAUAAGUAAUAAAAUUAAGAAACAAUAAAUAAAAUUGGUUGGCAAAUAUUACCCGACCAAACAACUUUUUAGCAUAUUAUAAACUAUUAUUGAGAUCCAACUUGAACGAAUUGGUUGGUAGUCGAUUAUUCGUAAAAAAAGUAUGAAUAAAAAAUGAGUUAGUUGGUUGGGAAACCAACCCAUGGACAACCCUAAUAAGAUUCGCCCUUGAGUAGUUGAGUAUUAUACAUGCAAGGUCAUAUUUAUUAGCGCGCUCUCAUUUAAAUCACCACUUGCAUGAAUAAAGUCAAAAUUCAAUCACGAAUUUAUGCAACCUCUUUCACACGGACUUAUCACCUAAUACAUUUUCUUUUUCUCCAAUAUUUUAUGUUAUUUUGUUAGCAAAAACAAAGACCUCUUCAUAAUUCAAUUUUUUUUUAGCACUCAACACCCGACAGUGGUACUAAUUAAUUACUAAAAAAUAUUAAAUGAUAUAUGGUGGUAAUUUUGCAUAUAAAAUAACAUAAGGUAGUGUUUCUGCAAUUCAAUAUAAUACAGGGGUACUAAUUGCAAUAAACAAAAUUGGGAUAUAAAUAAGUGAACUCUAUAAAUAUUAAUCAGUUAUUUCAGAACAAGAUUGAGUAUAGUAUAAUUUCAAACUAUAUAUUUACACAUGGCCGCCUUAUCAGCAGUUCCUUCCAUGGAAGACCUAAAGGUCAAGUUCCAAGAAAGCUCUCUUAUCUUCCCAUACAAAGAAACACCGAAAAAAUCGAUUUUCUUGUCCAACAUCGAUCAAAUCUUGAACUACGAUAUCCCGACUGCCCAUUUCUUCAAGGCAAACCCAGCUUUCCCGCCAGAAAUAGUGGCCAAAAGGUUCAAAUUUGCAUUGGAGAAGGUGUUGGUUCCGUAUGAUUUUAUGGCGGGAAGACUAAAACUAAACCGGGAAUUGGGCCGGCUGGAGAUAGACUGCAACGCGGCGGGGGCUGGAUUUGUGGUGGCUAAGUCCGAUGUUUCUCUUGAUGAGAUUGGUGAGAACCUCGUUUAUCCGAACCUCGGAUAUCGACAGCUGGCUGUCCAGAGAUUGGAUAGCUUGCCACCUGAAGUUGACCAGCCACUCUGUGUUUUUCAGGUAGAUUUUUAUAUGCAUAUGUUUCUCUCCCUCUAGAUCCUACAUCUGGUUAAAUACAUUUUAUAUUGUAAACUGUAGAUUUAUACAUAAAUAACUACUCACUAAGCACACAUACACAUGUGUGUGUGUGUUAUUAAUUUAUUAUGUGUAGACCAAUGGUGUAAAACUACAUAGUGCAUUUCACCAGAUGUAGGUUCUACCAAAAUCCUCUCUCUCUCUCUCUCUCUCUCUCUCUCUCUCUCUCUCUCUCUCUCUCUCUCUCUCUCUAUAUAUAUAUAUAUAUAUAUAUAUAUAUAUAUAUAUAUAUAUAUAUGUAUAUAUAUGAAAAAUUGUGUUUUCUUUAAUUUGUAUAUAUGAAGGUUUUUUAGAUUAUAUAUUUUUUUACGGUUUAAAACCGUAGAUGUACAUAUAAUAACACACACCUAUGUGUAUGUGUGUUUAGUGGGUAUGUAGUUAUUUAUAUAGAUCUACGGUUUAAAACACAAUGAAUUUUGCUAGGUGUAGAAUCUCAUAAGUCUGGCUGAGUGCUGACUAGGAAUAAACCGUAUGAUUAUGAUAAAUAAUAUGGGGGAGAAAAUGGAUGAUUAAAGGUUUUGUAGAACUACUUCUAAUGAAUUACACCAUGUAAUUUUUAACCCUCGAUGUACAUAUAAUAAUACACACAGUCGUGUGUAUGUGUGUUUAGUGGAUAGUUAUAUAUGUAGAUCUACGGUUUAAAACCACAUGGUGUAUUUCACCGCAGGUCCUCAUUAGCCGAUGAUUAAAUUAAACUUAUUUAACUUAGAUAUAUUCGUUUGGAUCUUAUACGUUUCUAAUAAAACUUGCAGAUUACCUCAUUCAAGUGUGGUGGAUUUGCAAUUGGCAUGUCUACGAAUCACAUCUUAUUCGACGGGAUAGGUGCCAAGGUAUUCAUCGAAAACCUAGCUUCACAGUCUUUUGAAAACAAACCCUUAGCUAGUGUACCCUACAUCGACCGUCGGAUUCUCGCCGCUAGAUCUCCACCUCACGUGUCCUUCCCACACCCCGAGUUCCUUAAGCUCGACCUCCCUGUGGGCCCG
rnacentral:lncRNA from 1 species